rnacentral:misc_RNA from 1 species
ACAGAUAUCAUUGAAAGCAAUGGUUUGAUGUAGACCUCCCGUGGGUUCCCCACGUUUGGGGGGUGUGGCCUUGGCCAACCACCCACGGAAGCAACAGGUAAGAUACACAGAUGGGUGUCAUAAUACGCGCUGGGAGCACUUAUCACUUUUAAUGAUCCUUCCGCAGGUUCGCCUACGGAAACCUUGUUACGACUUUUACUUCCUCUAAAUGACCAAGA